AUUUAUAAUGAGAAAUGUCUGUGUGAGCCUAAACAUAGUCUGUCAUACAUAUUAAAUAUUAAAAUGCACCCAUGGCUAUGAAUGUUUAGGUCCACGGUUAAGAGGAUUUAGUUUUAAAUAUAUUUCAUUUAUUAAUGUAGCAUAUUAUUCAUCACGCAGAAUGUUGUGUUUAAAUAUAUUCCUAUUAUCCUAUAGCAACCCAGUGUGGAUUGUUGUCUUAAAUGUUGUAUUAACUGAGUUACCAGCAGUUACAAGGUAUGAUGGUCAGACUGUAAAAAUAUACCUCUGAGAUAUAUGUGUCACCAUGCCACCACAUUUCAGGAUUUUUGAUAAUGCACCAGUCAGUGGAAUGCCCCGCACCCCCCUACCUGGGGAAUAGCGGGGAAUUAUUGAGAGAUUGAACCUUAUAUUCGACCAUGCUACACAGGGAUUUAGACUGUAUUAGUUAUAUUAUCAGGUACCGGGGACUUUGGCAGGACUUAUAUCGGGGAUUAGACAUAGCCGCCAUCUUGAAAACGAAAAAGGACUGGGAAUGAGCAAUGAAAGCGAGCUGAUAAUUUUGCGAACGAACUGACAAUCUCUUGUGUUAUUAGGUCACCAUUUUAUUUUCUUGAAAGUUAUUG